rnacentral:rRNA from 1 species
CGCUGGCGGCGUGCUUAACACAUGCAAGUCGAACGAUGAACCACUUCGGUGGGGAUUAGUGGCGAACGGGUGAGUAACACGUGGGCAAUCUGCCCUUCACUCUGGGACAAGCCCUGGAAACGGGGUCUAAUACCGGAUACCACUACUACAGGCAUCUGUGGUGGUUGAAAGCUCCGGCGGUGAAGGAUGAGCCCGCGGCCUAUCAGCUUGUUGGUGAGGUAAUGGCUCACCAAGGCGACGACGGGUAGCCGGCCUGAGAGGGCGACCGGCCACACUGGGACUGAGACACGGCCCAGACUCCUACGGGAGGCAGCAGUGGGGAAUAUUGCACAAUGGGCGAAAGCCUGAUGCAGCGACGCCGCGUGAGGGAUGACGGCCUUCGGGUUGUAAACCUCUUUCAGCAGGGAAGAAGCGAAAGUGACGGUACCUGCAGAAGAAGCGCCGGCU